ensembl:lncRNA
UUAAUAUGAAGUCUGUGUGUUGAACUAGUCCACUGUUCACUAAAGGAGACCCGAGUGUAGAACCGCACGUGGUAAUCGCAGUCCCGAGGCCGUCGCAGCGACCGUCGUCCCAGCGACCACGGCGAGAUAAAAAGGAAUUACUCCUCGUCAAAUUGUGUGCACUCGAAAAGAUAAGACAACGCAAACAAUAUUUACAACAACACAGAAAACAUCUCGAGACCGGACUCGAGUCCCGCAGCUCUAGAAGUCGAUAUCAAAAUAAAAUAGGAACGCCGUUAUCUUCACUGUCCAAAUGAACUAUGAAGACUAGUCGGGGCUGUGAAAAAAAUACAGCAAGGCAGACAGUCAAUAAAGCAACUACAUUUAUUUUGUAGGUGUGAAAAUAUUUCAGACAAGAUCAAACCGAUUCAAUGGUCAUCUGCACAAGGUGAUGGAAAAAAAGCUUUUUACCCCCCUAUGUUUUAACAGGCCACUGGCACUGAGUAGAGGUGUGUGCACGAUCGCCUUUAAAUUCCUAUUCCCGGGACCGUCCUGAAACACCUCCAGGUACUGUACUGAACUGACUCCAGGUACUGUACUGAACUGACUCCUGGUACUGUACUGAACUGACUCCUGGUACUGUACUGAACUGACUCCAGGUACUGUACUGAAACACCUCCUGGUACUGUACUGAACUGACUCCAGGUACUGUACUGAAACACCUCCAGGUACUGUACUGAACUGACUCCAGGUACUGUACUGAACUGACUCCAGGUACUGUACUGAAACACCUCCAGGUACUGUACUGAACUGACUCCUGGUACUGUACUGAACUGACUCCUGGUACUGUACUGAAACACCUCCUGGAUGCUGCUGUAGACAUCCUCCUGCCAUCAUUAAACUAUAAGGCGUUUCUGUGACGUGCUGCGCUCCCAGUUAGAGGAGAUGACCCGUUGAGUGGUCUUAAUAAAACAAAACAAAACCUCUAAUACAAACGCAAGACUCUUCAUCGAUCUUCGUUUCCUUUUCUAAAACAUUUACAGCGUCUAGCAUUGAAGCGCUCACUGCAGACUCACCACCUCCGGGUAAUAUCCCCAGACCCCGAGCACUGGGGAAGAUCAGUGAAGGCCUCGUUCAUAAUUGAUGGUGGAACCAGAGGAGCUGUUUUUCAGGAUUAUUACGAGAGCCGAGUCCAUUCCCACGUGUGCGAAGAGAGAAAUUCACGGCUCAAAGUUUCAUUCAACAUUACACACACAUCUAAGAGCUGAACCAGGCCCUGGGGAGUGUUCUUUAUUGAAACGCUAAAGGCCUUGAGAAGAUUAUUUUGUGGACCAGGACAGGUGCAUCAAACGCCGAACAGAAUAAUAAUCGUCCUCCAGCAGGGUUGUGUCUAUAAAACAGCAGUGCCGCGUCGCAUCGCCAUUCUGCUCACCGUUGUCGCUGUAGCUGUUUAAAAAAGGACAAGUAACGCUCACGAUCAACGAGCGGAUAGAUUUUCUUUGACGUGACUCACAUGGAGCUUAAUUUGCAUUUAAACGUGUGUCGCGUGCCCUCGCUCGUCCCCUCGCGGAUGAACUAUUGAGCGUAAGGUACCGCGAGUUUAUAAUAGUGGCGAUAAGUACACAUAUCGUCGAGUUCACACUUUGUCAGACGAAGUUAAAAUACAACACGGAUUGGUUGAGCGGUUUCGGAAAAAAAAACAACAUAAAGAAACCUUCGAAGAAGCUGCGUUUAACGUAGAUCGCAGCGGAGUUACGAAAUGCAAGUUUACGCUAACUAUCGGCGACAAGACUGACCAUCACUGUGGGUAAAUAAAUCAAAACAAAUCUGCAGCAGUAAAACAUGAUUAGUCGUGUAGUCAAAUUGUGACGUCGCCGCGUACAUGGUCCGAAAAAGAGCGCAGAAAAGAAAAGAAAAGAGGGGAAAAGCCUGACCUACAGUUACCACACUCCCGAAGAUCGCUGUCUGGAAGAAAAGCCAUUCUAGCCAGAGCUGUUAUGAGAACUCUUCCGUAACAUGACCAAUCAAACGGGCUGCACUAUUUCUAGCUCCGCCCCCCACGUCCCUGUUCGGCUUUUCAGCACUUGAUUACAGUAGAUCUCACUAAACGAUGCAAAUAACAGUGAAGAGAGUUUUACCUUGUCAUGUCAUAGUAAUAUUUGUGAUACUUUUUAGUCUUUCUCAUCGGUGCGUAAAAUCUCCCUCGGGUAUAUUGUAUUUAACCAUAGUCUAAGGUACAUGGUGAAUUAUUUAAUGUUUCAUCUGAGCUUUUUUAGUAGCGACGUAACGAGUAUGAAUACACCGUUGGAGAAUGAGCAGGUAAUCGUGUUCUAAACUGAUACAAACACUCAGUACGUUUACAUGGACCACGAUAAUCCGAUAUUAAUCCGAUUGAGACGAUAUUCUGAUUGAGAAACUAGCAUGUGAACAGAGAUUACUGACGACCUUAAUCUGAUUAAAGUCACACUCGGAGUAAACACAGAUGGAAUUACGUCAUGUGGCGUAUUCCUGUUUUAUUCACGUUAUCGACGUGCGUUACAGACGCGUACACGCCUUAAUCACACUAUUAACGUCGUGCGAGAGUUUUCACCGUAUUGUGCGACAGGACACGUACACACACGGCAGCGCUCGAGCGUUUUACGGCGAACAAGAGAACGCGUCCCAAACCGCGUACUUACGCGCGGUGUAGUAGGCGAGAUGCAUGUAUUUAUGUAAGUACGCGGUUCGGGACGCAGCCCACGGCUUCAAUCGGUCGUCUGUUUGCACGUACAGCGCGACUAAUAAUCAACCGCACUUGAAGCUUUCAUAAAAAAAUUAUAAAUGAAACACCCGAAACUGUAUAUGGUACCAUAACGAAGAUGAACUGUAUGUCGAUAGGUGAAAUUCUGGAGGGAUGACGGACAUAUAUGUAUAUUUAAUAAUAAUAAUAAUAAUAAUAAUAAUAA